rnacentral:rRNA from 1 species
AUUGAACGCUGGCGGCAGGCCUAACACAUGCAAGUCGAGCGGAUGAAUGGAGCUUGCUCCUGGAUUCAGCGGCGGACGGGUGAGUAAUGCCUAGGAAUCUGCCUGGUAGUGGGGGAUAACGUCCGGAAACGGGCGCUAAUACCGCAUACGUCCUGUGGGCGAAAGUGGGGGAGCUUCGGACCUCACGCUAUCAGAUGAGCCUAGGUCGGAUUAGCUAGUUGGUGGGGUAAAGGCCUACCAAGGCGACGAUCCGUAACUGGUCUGAGAGGAUGAUCAGUCACACUGGAACUGAGACACGGUCCAGACACCUACGGGAGGCAGCAGUGGGGAAUAUUGGACGAUGGGCGAAAGCCUGAUCCAGCCAUGCCGCGUGUGUGAAGAAGGUCUUCGGAUUGGAAAGCACUUUAAGUUGGGAGGAAGGGCAGUUAUUUAAUACCUUACUGUUUUGACGGUACCAGCAGAAUAAGCACCGGCUAACUUCGUG